CCCCAGUCCCCGCUGCCCCCUCCGCCGCCGCCGCCGCCCGCCGGCAGGUUCCCUGGUCAGCCUCCCAUCCCGGUCGGGAGUUCUCUCCAGGCGGCACGAUGCCGAGGAAACAGUGACCCUGAGCGAAGCCAAGCCGGGCGGCAGGAAAUUCUGCAAUGUCCCAUCAACCUCUCAGCUGCCUCACUGAAAAGGAGGACAGCCCCAGUGAAAGCACAGGAAAUGGACCCCCCCACCUGGCCCACCCAAACCUGGACACGUUCACCCCGGAGGAGCUGCUGCAGCAGAUGAAAGAGCUCCUGACCGAGAACCACCAGCUGAAAGGUAAAAGUAAAAACUGUGUGUAUCUCAAGGAAGUAGCAUAAUGAUAUUUAGCCCAUUCAAAAGGAAAAAGAGGCUGGGCGUGGUGGCUCAUGCCUGUCAUUCCAUCACUUUGGGAGGCCAAGGCAGAAGGAUUGCUUGAGUACGGGAGUUCAAGACCAGCCUGGGCAAGAUGGCAAGACCUGAUCUCUAC
rnacentral:sRNA from 1 species